GUGCCAGCCGCUGCGGUAAUACGGAGGGUGCAAGCGUUAUCCGGAUUUAUUGGGUUUAAAGGGUCCGUAGGCGGAUGUGUAAGUCAGUGGUGAAAUCUCACAGCUUAACUGUGAAACUGCCAUUGAUACUGCAUGUCUUGAGUGUUGUUGAAGUAGCUGGAAUAAGUAGUGUAGCGGUGAAAUGCAUAGAUAUUACUUAGAACACCAAUUGCGAAGGCAGGUUACUAAGCAACAACUGACGCUGAUGGACGAAAGCGUGGGGAGCGAACAGGAUUAGAUACCCUGGUAGUCCACGCCGUAAACGAUGCUAACUCGUUUUUGAUUUUCGGAUUCAGAGACUAAGCGAAAGUGAUAAGUUAGCCACCUGGGGAGUACGUUCGCAAGAAUGAAACUCAAAGGAAUUGACGGGGCCCGCACAAGCGGUGGAUUAUGUGGUUUAAUUCGAUGAUACGCGAGGAACCUUACCAAGGCUUAAAUGGGAAAUGACAGG
rnacentral:rRNA from 1 species